GACGAACGCUGGCGGCGUGCUUAACACAUGCAAGUCGAACGAAGAGCGAUGGAAGCUUGCUUCUACCAAUCUUAGUGGCGAACGGGUGAGUAACGCGUAAUCAACCUGCCCUUCAGAGGGGGACAACAGUUGGAAGCGACUGCUAAUACCGCAUACGAUCUAAUCUCGGCAUCGAGGAAAGAUGAAAGGUGGCCUCUAUUUAUAAGCUAUCACUGAAGGAGGGGAUUGCGUCUGAUUAGCUAGUUGGAGGGGUAACGGCCCACCAAGGCGAUGAUCAGUAGCCGGUCUGAGAGGAUGAACGGCCACAUUGGGACUGAGACACGGCCCAGACUCCUACGGGAGGCAGCAGUGGGGAAUCUUCCGCAAUGGACGAAAGUCUGACGGAGCAACGCCGCGUGAGUGAUGACGGCCUUCGGGUUGUAAAGCUCUGUUAAUCGGGACGAAAGGCCUUCUUGCGAACAGUUAGAAGGA
rnacentral:rRNA from 1 species